GAACAAGGCAACAUCUGUACAUCUGAAGUUGAUCCACGGGUGCCGGACUGUGGCAGCCCACUGCUCCUAGUGGUUGGAUUGUGUCUAACUGUAAUUAAGAUGCUUAAAUGUAGAGGACAGGUUUCAAGUAAGGACGUGCAAA